CCGAGAUAUGAAGAUGACUGCACUGUGGGAUGAGGUAGUAGGUUGUAUAGUUUUAGGGUCAUACCCACAACUGGGAGAUAACUAUACAAUCUACUGUCUUUCCUAAAGCAGCAGAAAAAUCAACAGUGGCAA
rnacentral:pre_miRNA from 14 species